CUGUAAAAAAAUGCCUUCACUCUGGGAGAAAGUUGGAACAAUCUGCUCUCCUUCUCUGCCUUUCAGCACAACCUCUUCCAAAACACAGUUUAAUCCCUUUUUUUCCCCCCCAAUGUCAGGGAGAAGAGCCCAUGGAACAGCCGCAUCAGGAAUAAAAGUUAUUCCACAAGAGCUACAAGGGAACUUAUCAACCCACAAGUCACUGACCUGUUUGUUGAAGAUAUGGAAAAAAACCACAAGUGAAAAACGGUUUGUAUGAGACGUCCUACUUCCGGCCCCGCGGUGCCCUCAGCGCUUCCCGCCUCGGCACGGCCCGUCCCGGCUCCUCCCGCCUCCCGCUCCGGCUCCUCCCGCCUCAGCGCUUCCCGCCGGCUCCCUCAGGAGCUACCGGGAGUCAGGAGCCGCUGCAGCCCUCGGCGGCCGCCGGAGCCCCGCUCCCGCCAGGAGAGGAGGAUGAGGUGAGAGCGCGGUGGAGGGACGGACAACAGCGGGGCAGCGGCCGCCUUAGAGCUGCUGGAGAAGUCUACAGAAGGUUUCUUCCUCCUGGCCAAUGCACUCUAGUAAGUCGAAACUCCUUUUUAGUAGAAACUCCUCUGGCAAUUACGUGAAGGAGUGUUCAGUGUGCUCGACCUCGGCGGGCCUUUGAGGCAGGAGCGGGCGGCCGUGAGGGGGAUGCCUGAGGGAUGGUGGAUCCGGAGCGGGGUCUGUGGGAGCUGCCGGGAUCCAGGUUCGUCACUGGGUGCUGCCGGAGCAGUGGGUGGUUGGUCUAUUUUUAAAAUUAAUGUAGCCAUCUGUAAAAUGGCUGCAUUAAAUCUUCAGUAAUUUGCACUGAAGUCGUGAGGCACAGAAGUGUCUCUGAACUGCGGGCUGAGCUGCAAACAUAAUGAAAGUGCUCUGUGGUUUCCCCCUUCAGCAAAGAUGACCUAAUGUAAUAUCCCCUUACUGGUGCAAAACGAGGAAGGGCAGAGCUGGGCACGGGGACAGUCCCUGCUGGCCCACAGAGCUGCUCCCAGCGUCCCAGAGGGAGCUGGGGAAUCCACAAGGAGGAGGGACUGGUAAUGGUGCCACCACAGCUCGGCUCACAGAUGGCCAAGGAGUCACCUGCUAUCAGGCUGUCUGUCUGCAUCCCUGCCAAAAGCACAGAUGAUAUCUCCUGGCUUGUUUGAAAGGGAGCUCUGCUGGAAAUUCUGUGUUUCACUCAUCAUCUGUGCUGUUGCAGACUGCUUCAGUAACCAAGCUGAGGUUGCUGAGCUGCUGUGUCAGAGCUGUUGCUGGUUUUGUGUUAAAGGUGCAAAGGGAGCAGUUUUGAGGUUUCACAGAGAAAACGAUGCCCUGAGACACCACCACGCACUCUGCUUGGUGUUUGGGUGCAGUGUGUAAAAACCACAAGUCAACCCCAUCAUCACAAAACACAAUCAUCACUUCAUUGCAGUGAUGAUUCAGCUGCUCAUAAAGCUCUGGAUGGAGCUGGUGAGCUCCAGAGCUGUGUGAGACACACUGGGAACUUACUGCAAUCUGGAUGUGGAAACAUCUGCACUGUGUGAUACCAGUUAAAUGGCUGCUCACAUGUUUCUCUGGUGAGUAACUGGGAACUCAUUUGCUGGUUUCUGCUUUCAAAUGGCAAGGCUUUUCUUUUCAAGGCUCAGUUUUAGUGUGGGAAGACACUGGCCUUGCAUUCAGAGAGCCAGAUGGCAGCCUUUCCUGAGCUGUCUCAGGUUUUAUUAGGAUGAACUGCAGUCGCUCAGGCUUUGGAACAGAAUUUGUUUCAUAAGUAUGUGGUCUCUGUGCUGCAAGUGAAGACCUUAGAAAAACAACACAAAACUACCAAACCCAAGAAAUGUAAAUAUUUUUAGCACUUCUGCAUCAGCAGAGAGCUGGGAUUUCCCAGCAGACAAUGGAGAAAUAGCUGGAGGUGGUGACAAUUCCUCUUUUAGGUCUCGUGGACAGUCCAACCUUUUCCAUUCACUUUUUGUGCUGUCCCAGCCGUCACUCUCUAAACGCUUUUUCCGUGCAAGAGGUCACUUCGGAGAGCCCAAGGAAUGCUUUAUAAAUAUUUGAUUGACCACUGCCUGCAGACAGACUGUUGGUAAAGGUCUCCUGGUACCUGAGAGCAGAGCACACAGGCCCAGCCAGUUCUGCCUAGCCCCAUUUUAAGCCUACCAAGCAAACCUAACUGCUAAAUGACAUAUUUCCUGCGAAGAUAAAUCGCAAAGAGCUUGCUGGCAGCUGCGGUGAGUUGUGGCUGCUGAGCUCCCACUCCUGUGCUUCCAGGUAUCUGGAAGCUUCCAGGUGUCUGGAGGCUCUGUGCAGUCAGUGGAGAGGAGCACAGGGAAUAUCCCAGCGCCACCCCGCUGACACCAAUCUGUUGGG